rnacentral:tRNA from 1 species
UGGAGCAGUCUGGUAGCUCGUCGGGCUCAUAACCCGAAGGUCGUGGGUUCAAAUCCUAC